GCCAGGGUCCUAAACAACUAGUUUAACACAGAGCUCGACAAAUCCCAGGUGCCCGGUUGCCACGGCGACUAGAAACCUUGUCCUGGGAUUCACCAGUUCUCUAGUUAAUAUGGCCGCCGAGGGAGCUUUGACAGCGGCCUGCAAAGGGAUUAUUGGAGCCGGCAGCCCAGGAACAAGAAGGAGCAUUGUGGUCGUCGUGUGAGGGAGCAAAAAUCUACCUGCAGCUCCCCU